rnacentral:rRNA from 1 species
AUUGAACGCUGGCGGCAUGCCUUACACAUGCAAGUCGAACGGCAGCACGGACUUCGGUCUGGUGGCGAGUGGCGAACGGGUGAGUAAUACAUCGGAACGUGCCUAGUAGUGGGGGAUAACUACUCGAAAGAGUGGCUAAUACCGCAUGAGAUCUACGGAUGAAAGCAGGGGAUCGCAAGACCUUGUGCUACUAGAGCGGCUGAUGGCAGAUUAAGUAGUUGGUGGGAUAAAAGCUUACCAAGCCGACGAUCUGUAGCUGGUCUGAGAGGACGAUCAGCCACACGGGGACAGAGACACGGCCCAGACUCCUAGGGGAGGCAGCAGUGGGAAAGUGUGGAAAAUGGGCGCAAGCCUGAUCCAGCAAUGCCGCGUGCAGGAUGAAGGCCUUCGGGUUGUAAACUGCUUUUGUACGGAACGAAAAGCUUCGGGCUAAUACCCUGGAGUCAUGACGGUACCGUAAGAAUAAGCACCGGCUAACUACGUGCCAGCCGCCGCCGUAAAAC